CCGGCCCCGGCCUUGCUGUGUGAAGUUUAUAUGUUCUCGUGGGUUUCCUCGGGUGGUCCGGUUUCCUCCCACAUUC